GUUAGUUUGGUUUUACUCAAGUAACAUGAUCUGAUCUACAAUUAAGUCCCAUGAAGGCAGCAUGUAGCCCGGUUAAACUGUAAAUCCAGUGGUCAGUAACACUGAAGUGAUACACUGUCUGUCUCCUCAGUGUAGAUCCUCCUGCUGUAAAAACCAGCAUUGACCAGCAUGAAUUCCCUUUCAGUCACUGUCUACCAACCUGCAGUCGGUUCAGCACGAAACAUCAGGCUCACAGCAACAGAUUAAGAAGAAUCCUGCAUCAAAAGAUGACUUCAACUUGCAUGUGAGACAGAGUGAGAAGAGAAAAAGAAGAAUGAAGAUGGACUGUCUAAGAAACCUGUUACCAUAGUCAGCUGGAUCCCCUCCAAAUCCAGAUCAGAUGCUGGACCUGCAUCUUGGCAUGACCACAACGCAAGCCUAAAUGUCAAAGAAGACCAUGUCAACUAGACAAGCCAGACAGAUCCCCUGUGAGGACUUCGUUGACAACCAUCGGCAAAGAUCCUCAGCAAAGACCACAAGAACCAGACAAGUCCUCUGCACAGACCCCUACGGCCAGCUUCAACUCUAUGCCGGCGUGUUGUAUUUUGAUCUUCAAACUGAUGGAACCAUAUGAAAUAUUCUAAAUUAUACCAAUCCACAAUCUGACUUGUGUUGCUGCCUGAAUCAUAUCACACCAUGUUCGUUCAUUGGCCAGAGGAGAAUUGGUCCCUGACUGAGCCUGGUUUCUCCCAAGGUUUUUUUUUCUUCUCCAUUUUUGUAACCUGAUGGAUUUUGGGUUCCUUACCCCUGUUGCCUUUGGCUUGCUAAGUUUGGGACACUUAAUAUUCAGCAAUAAUAUUGAUUUGAUUGCACUGACACUAUCAUAUGAGAACUGAACUGAGCUGGACGAUGACAUCACUGUUUUCUGCAGAGCUGCUUUAUAACGAAUUGAACUGAUUUCAUAAUUGAUUAACUAUAUACAGCUAUUGAACAGAACUGAAUUAAAACUAUACUGACUUCAGCUGAA